CUCAGGUGAAGCAAUGAAAGUGCUACAUUAUUACCUUGUGCAAGAUCUAAGUCAUUGUUUAUAAGCUACAAUGGGUGAAUUCCUACAAUGCCCUAACUGAAAACAGUUAAAUCACAUUCUUGCAUAAUGUGAAGUGUGAAUCCAGUCAGUGGCAGGGAUUAAUGGAAUGCUGAAGGUGAAGACGGAACUCCCAGAUUCAUGAAAUGAGAAGCUAACCUGUGAAACAAAUACCCAGAACAAUUUAAAACACACCACCCUGUGUUUGCCUGGUUUACAUGAAAAUGCUUUUGAAAUUCUUUCAAAAUAAUAAACCUGACAUGACUUUGGAAUCUCCCAUUAUACCAUUGUGUGUUGGAAAAAUAAACAGGGAGGAAAUUAAAAACUUGUUUAUUAUAUGGACUGUAGCUUGGAAUCUGGUUGAGCAAAACGUGAGCCUAGGAGCUCAUUUAAUGAAGUUACUUAAAUCCUGGCCCUUAGAUAUAAAAGGAGAUA